rnacentral:tRNA from 1 species
GUUCCCAUAGUUAAGAUUUUUUAACGGUGGCUUUUCAGGCCAUAGACCUUGGAGAAGGACCAAGUGGGAAUGU